AGAGGUUCUUCAUGAGGGAUCCAGUCCUGCAGCAGACUUCUGCCUGGACAUCCGGGUGUUUCCAUACAUCCUCUGAAAUCUAGGCAGAGGCUCCCAAGUCUCAACUCUUGCCCUUUGCAUACCCACAGGCCCAACACCAUAGGGAAGCCAUCAAGACUUGGGGCUUACACCCUCUGAAGCAAUGACCUGAGCUGUACUGUGGCCCCUUUUAGCCAUGGCUGAAACGGGAGCAGCUGGGAUGCAGGGCACCAUGUCCCAAGGCUGCACAGAGCAGUAAGGCCCUGGACCUGGCCCACGAAACCAUUUCUCCCUCCUAGGCCUCUGGGCCUGUAAUAGGAAGGGCUGCUAUGAAGGUCUCUGAAAUGUCUUAGAGGGAUUUUCCCCAUUGUCUUGGCUAUUAAUAUUUGGCUCCUUUUUACUUAUGUAAAUUUCUGCAGCUGGCUUGAAUUACUUCCCAGAAAAUAGGUUUUUCUUUUCUACUACAUGGCAGGUUGAAAAUUUUCCAAGCUUUUAUACUCUGCUUUCCUUUUAAAUAUAAGUUCCAAUAUCAAACCACCUCUUCGGAAAUGCAUAUGAGCAUAUGCUGUUAGAAGCAGCCAGGUCACUUCUUGAAUGCUUUGCUGCUUUGAAAUUUCUUCCACCAGAUACUCUAAAUAAUCUCUCUCAAGUUCAAAGUUUCACAGAUCCCUAGAGCAGGGGCACAAUGCCACCAGUCUCUUUGCUGAAGCAUAGCAAGAAUGACCUUUACUCCAGUUCCCAAUAAGUUCCUCAUCUCCCUCUAAGACCUCCUUGGCCUGGACUUCAUUGUCCAUAUCUCACUAUCAGUAUUUUGGUCAAAGCCAUUCAACAAGUCUCUAGGAAGUUCCAAACUUUCCCUUAUCUUCUUGUCUUCUUCUGAGCCUUCCAAACUGUUCCAACCUCUGCCCAUCCAAAGCUGCUUCCACAUUUUCAGGUAUCUUUUGUAGCAAUGCCCCACUUCUCUGAUACCAAUUUCCUAUAUUAGUCCAUUCUCACACUGCUAUAAAGAACUAUCUGAGACUGGGUAAUCUAUGAAGAAAAGAGGUUUAAUUGACUCACAAUUCUGCAGGCUGUACAGGAGGCAUGGCUGGGGAGGCCUCAGAAAACUUACAAUCAUGGCAGAAGGUGAAGGGGAAGCCAGCACAUCUUCAUAUGAUGGCAGACAGGAACUUUAUAUGUUAUAGAAGUUAGCCCCAAGAAUGAAAUCGUGUCCUUUGCCAAAACAUGGAUGGAGCUAGAGGCCUUUAUCCUAAGUGAGUUAACGCAGGAACAGAAAGCCAAAUAGUGCAUGUUCUCACUGAUAAGUGGGAGCUAAACUAUGGGUUCACAAAGGCAUGCAGAGUGGUACUGUGGACAUUGGAGACUCAGAAUGGGGGAGGCUAGGAGGGAGGUAAGGGAUGAAAAAGUACCUGUUGGGUACAAUGUACACUACUUGGGUGACGAUGGGUCCACUAAAAUCCCAGAUUUAACCACUGUACAAUUCAUCCAUGUAACCAAAACCCACCUGUACCCCAAUGCUAUGAAAAUAAAUAAAACCAAAUUAGCUCUGUUUCUGUUAGAUGAGAUGCAAAUAUUUUCCCAAGUUUGUCCUUUGUCUUUUGACUUUGUUUAUGGUGUUUCACUCAUGCAGAUGUUUUUUAUUUUCAUGUUUUUAACUUGUCAUUAUUUUCUUUCAUGUCUUCUGGAUUUUAAGUCAUGUUAUCAAGGCUUUCCCACUCUGAUAUUAUAAAUGAAUUUUUCCUCAUUUCUCUUAGAACUUUGAUUCUUUCACUUCCCACAUUUAACCUUCCACGUAUCCAGAAUUUCCCCUAGCAUAAGUUGAUACGGUCCCAAUGUUUCUUUUUUUUUUUUCCCAAAUGGCCACUCAUUUAUACCAACACCAUUUAUUGAAUCGUCUAUAGUCCCCACUGAUUUGAAAUGCCAGCUUUACAUACCAAAGUCCUGUAUGCAUUUGCCUCUGUUCUGUUUGGUAGGUCUAUUCAAGCUCCAGUUCCCAAAAGUGUUGAGUGUCGCUUAAAAUCUAGAAGGGCUGGUUUCUAGUUUUCCAUAAUUGCUCCUCUUUUCUAGUGUCCUCUGUCCUAUUAGGGCUUAUUGAUUUUUAAAUAUGAUUUGUGGAUUCAGUUUUCUUUAGUUCUAGUGAGCAACAAAAACAACCAAGAAAAAAAUAAAAAAAACCCUCCCUGUUUUCCUUUCUUUCUUUCUUUUUUUAAUCAAGAUCACCUUAAGUUUAAAAAUUAACGUAGGAUAACUUGACAUAUUUUAUGAUUUUUAUGUUACUCUCCAAAAAUAUAAUAAGUGGUUCUAUUUAUUCAACUCUACUCCUUUGUCCUGCAGGAACAUUUUGUUUCCUUAUCAAGUCUGAUAUUGUCUUUUGGUCUGAGAUAGACAUAUUUAAAAAAAUUGUGUUCAUUGAUUUCUAUCUUA
rnacentral:lncRNA from 10 species